GAACAGAAUGAAUCCAAGAGCCGGAAUAGAAGUAACAGCAAAGGAAGAUGGCAUAGGUAUACUCAUACCAGGCUGAUAACCAAGCUUAACAACUAUAUUCUAGUGUUUGUAAAAAUUCAUGACCCUAAGUAGGGUGCUAACACCUUCCCUUGAUAAAAGGAAAAGAAAGAAAGAGAAAACGGUAAAAUCUAUGCAUAAGUGUAACAAUUGUUGAUUCAAGUUAAAGUGUAAAGUUGACUGGUUAUUACAGAGAAGACAGGGAGAUAUGGAAGAAAAAAAAGGUGACAACUAUAUUUGAAGCUCCUAUGAAGGGGAAUAUUCCAGCUUGAGGAAGAAAGAUAACCAUUAAUAGCAAUCUUUCAUCUUCAAUAUGUAACAUAGAAAACCAAGUAUCCCAUUUCAAUCUUAUAGAUAGUGCUAUACAUAUGUUAUGUCCAUGCAUAUGUGUGUAUUUAUGAGUAUCACUAUAUAGUUUAUGAAAGAAGUUGCACAAUGUUGAGAGAGAGAAAUUGCUGACAAACUCGCACAAACCCUCCCUUCUGUGAGAUCUGGGCCUAACUACAAGGGCUGAAUAGCCUUAAAACUCAACUGCAAACGUUAUAUUAACCUGGAGAACAAGUUUGCAUUACCAGAGAGGUAGAUCCUCUCACAGGCAUAAAUCUCGUAUGCCACUAACCUUUCUGGCUUGGAUGCCUGCCCAAGACCUGUGUUUGUUCUUUUUCUUUCUUUCUUUCUUUCUUUUUUUUUUUUUUUUUUUCUUCUAGACUCAUGAAUUGCAUGUGGACUGACCCUCAGGACUAUGCCGAACUGGAGCAUCCACAAGGACUGUGGUCUGGCAUUGAUCGAUUGGAUAAUGAGCUAAGCCCAGGAAGGAUAAAAGGAAGUAAGCCACAUACCUCUGGUGUGGACUCGGACUCACCGUCAGCUGGCCUGCGGACCCGACAACCCACCCAUCAGCGGGGACGCCCCUGAUGCCAACUGCCAGGGAGAACCUGAAUCAUCUUGGUGCAGCUCGAGCGUGGAAAUGUAUGCUGUUGGCCGAAGGAUCUGCAUCUCUUUUGCUUCUUCACUGGAGUGCUGAGUCCAGAAGGCUGGAGUCAGAAAGGCUGAGGGAGCUGGGCCUGUUCAGCCUGGAGAAGAGAAGGCUCAGGGGGGAUCUGCUCAAUGCGUACAAGUAUCUGAAGGGGGAGUGUCAAGAGGAUGGGGCCAGACUCUUCUCAGUGGUGCCCAGGGACAGGACGAGAGGCAACGGGCACGAACUGAAACACAGGAAGGUCCAUCUGAACAUGAGGAAAAACUUCUUUCCUGUGAGGGUGACAGAGCAUUGGAACAGGUUGCCCAGAGAGGUAGUGGAGUCUCCUUCCCUGGAGAUAUUCAAAACCCGUCUGGACGCAAUCCUGGGCAAUGUGCUCUAGAGGACCCUGCUUGAGCAGGGAGGUUGGACUAGAUGAUCUCCAGAGGUCCCUUCCAACCUCAACCAUUCUGUGAAUACUUUGCUAGCAAAGGUAGGUCUAAUAUUCAUUAGAGCAAGAUGCAGCAUGGGGUUAUCACACUGUCUUUAAACAAAGUGGCUAACUCUCCUGUGGCUCUAGUACUAACAAAGCAAGGAGUGGGGCUGAAGUUUUUAUUUCCUUUUGCUAAGUGGCAUUGCUAAGUCAUUCCAUUCCUUGUGUGCGGUAGGCCAGUCACAACGUAGGACUGUAUGUAUAUUUGCAGAUGGACAGGGCUUACAGAUGAAGUCUCUUCUUCACGCUAUUCUUCCUGAACCUCAGGCCUGCCUGAAUUCUUCCUUCCAAUAGCUCCCUCCAUCAAAUAUUUUCCAGUCACCUAAAAAUGCCCUUAUUCCACCACAGGGACAUCCAAUUCUGAACAUGUGUCUCAGCUGGCAGCAAGCAAGGGCAUCCCUACUUCUCUCUCCUCUGACUAGCUCUUUCUUUGGAAUAGGCAGAAAGUCCAGCCUUUCAAAGCAAGAGAAAUGUUCAAAGCCUGUGAUUUCUCUAAGAGGUAAGUGGAUGGAUCGGGCAAAUUCUUCCAUAGUUUCCUCUAACAUCUUAAGAACAUCUUUAAGGCUGAGGCUAAAAUUUCAGUAACCCUUAGGCUUGAAUCUUAACACUUGAAACUCAUAUAUGUAUUCUUAUUAAAUGCUAGUGGAACAGAAGCCUGUGCCGAUGACUGUCCCAAGUAAAGAAAAUAAUCCAAACCUAGUAGCUGUGGAGUGGGCUCCCC
ensembl:lncRNA